AGCGAACGCUGGCGGCAGGCUUAACACAUGCAAGUCGAGCGGGCGUAGCAAUACGUCAGCGGCAGACGGGUGAGUAACGCGUGGGAACGUACCUUUUGGUUCGGGAUAACCCAGGGAAACUUGGGCUAAUACCGGAUAAGCCCUUACGGGGAAAGAUUUAUCGCCGAAAGAUCGGCCCGCGUCUGAUUAGCUAGUUGGUGAGGUAACGGCUCACCAAGGCGACGAUCAGUAGCUGGUCNGAGAGGAUGAUC
rnacentral:rRNA from 1 species